rnacentral:misc_RNA from 1 species
UCCGGUUUGUCACCGGCGGUCUCCUUAGAGUUCCCACCAUUACGUGCUGGCAACUAAGGACAAGGGUUGCGCUCGUUGCGGGACUUAACCCUACAUCUCACGACACGAGCUGACGACAACCAUGCACCACCUGUGUACCGCCCCGAAGGACACCGUAUCUCUACGGCUUUUCGGUACAUGUCAAGCCCAGGUAAGGUUCUUCGCGUUGCCUCGAAUUAAGCCACAUGCUCCACCGCUUGUGCGGGCCCCCGUCAAUUCCUUUGAGUUUCAACCUUGCGGCCGUACUCCCCAGGCGGUCAACUUAACGCUUUAGCUUCGUCACUAAGAGCAAUUAGGGCUCCCAACAACUAGUUGACAUCGUUUAGGGCGUGGACUAC